UUAAACAGUGGUGUAGUAGGAGGUAUACGUCCUGAACCCCACAAAGGUUUAAACAGUGGUGUAGUAGGAGCUACACGGAGGUAUACGCCCUGAACCCCACUGAGGUUUAAACAGUGGUGUAGUAGGAGCUACACGGAGGUAUACGUCCUGAACCCCACAGAGGUUUAAACAGUGGUGUAGUAGGAGCAACACGGAGGUAUACGCCCUGAACCCCACAGAGGUUUAAACAGUGGUGUAGUAGGAGGUAUACGUCCUGAACCCCACAGAGGUUUAAACAGUGGUGUAGUAGGAGCUACACGGAGGUAUACGCCCUGCGCCCCACAGAGGUUUAAACAGUGGUGUAGUAGGAGCUACACGGAGGUAUACGUCCUGAACCCCACAGAGGUUUAAACAGUGGUGUAGUAGGAGCUACACGGAGGUAUACGUCCUGAACCC